rnacentral:rRNA from 1 species
UGCGGAGGGAUCAUUACAGAGUUAUCCAACUCCCAAACCCAUGUGAACUUAUCUCUUUGUUGCCUCGGCGCAAGCUACCCGGGACCUCGCGCCCCGGGGCGGCCCGCCGGCGGACAAACCAAAACUCUUGUUAUCUUAGUUGAUUAUCUGAGUGUCUUAUUUAAUAAGUCAAAACUUUCAACAACGGAUCUCUUGGUUCUGGCAUCGAUGAAGAACGCAGCGAAAUGCGAUAAGUAAUGUGAAUUGCAGAAUUCAGUGAAUCAUCGAAUCUUUGAACGCACAUUGCGCCCAUUAGUAUUCUAGUGGGCAUGCCUGUUCGAGCGUCAUUUCAACCCCUAAGCACAGCUUAUUGUUGGGAACCUACGGCUUCGUAGUUCCUCAAAGACAUUGGCGGAGUGGCAGUGGUCCUCUGAGCGUAGUAAUCUUUUAUCUCGCUUCUGUUAGGUGCUGCCCCCCCGGCCGUAAAACCCCCAAUUUUUUCUGGUUGACCUCGGAUCAGGUAGGAAUACCCGCUGAACUUAAGCAUAUCAAU